GACGAACGCUGGCGGCGCGCCUAACACAUGCAAGUCGAGCGAUGAAAAUCCAACGGAAACCUUCGGGAAGAAGUAGGAUUGGAUUAGCGGCGGACGGGUGAGUAACACGUGAGUAACCUGCCUUUGACAUGGGGAUAGCCUCGGGAAACUGGGAUUAAUACCCAAUAACAUUAUAUAAUCGCAUGAUUAAAUAAUCAAAGUGCUUAGCGGUCAAAGAUGGACUCGCGUCUGAUUAGCUAGUUGGUAGAGUAACGGUCUACCAAGGCAACGAUCAGUAACCGGCCUGAGAGGGUGAACGGUCACAUUGGAACUGAGAAACGGUCCAAACUCCUACGGGAGGCAGCAGUGGGGAAUAUUGCACAAUGGGGGAAACCCUGAUGCAGCGACGCCGCGUGAGCGAUGAAGGCUUUCGAGUCGUAAAGCUCUGUCCUAUGGGAAGAUAGUGACGGUACCAUAGGAGGAAGCCCCGGCUAACUACGUGCCAGCCGCCGCCGUAACAC
rnacentral:rRNA from 1 species